UUCAUCGGUGGCGUGGUCUCCAUCUCCCACCUGUGCGUUUUCUUUACUGCGCCGCCGAUUAGAGGUUGUCAUCCACACCGCCGACUAGACACUCUCUUUUUUCCUUCUUCGAUAAGUUUCUGUGCCUAUUCUUUACUUCUUCUCUCUUUGAUGACCUCUAAGAUUUGGUGCCCUUUACUAGCCGUUCUCCUUGCUUUUCCUUUGGACUACUCCGCCGGCUAGGUUCAUGGGUUCCGCUGCCGAUGAGCUGUAUCUUCUCCUUCUUCGGAUCUAUUUGUCUGCUCUGUGGUCUGCCCUUUGUGGUUCCGGGGCCUGUGCCGCUGCUGCUCAUUAUGUAUGGUCGUGAGAUUAUCGAUUCCAAACUGUACUGGUCCUCAUGUGUGCCUAUAUUAUUUUGUUGUACCUGUUCUCUUGCUCUGAUUUUCCUUUUCCUUCUCUAACCGUGACUAUUUUUCCCUUCUGGCGAUAGGCCCUGCAAUCAAUUCAGUUGUUAUUUCAGUUGUAUUGUGCGCAUGUGAACUCUAUCUGCAUUAUAUCAUUUUCAGUCGUGUGCUUA